AACGCUAGCUACAGGCUUAACACAUGCAAGUCGAGGGGCAGCAUUUUAGUUUGCUUGCAAACUGAAGAUGGCGACCGGCGCACGGGUGAGUAACACGUAUCCAACCUGCCGAUAACUCCGGGAUAGCCUUUCGAAAGAAAGAUUAAUACCGGAUAGUAUACGAAUAUCGCAUGAUAUUUUUAUUAAAGAAUUUCGGUUAUCGAUGGGGAUGCGUUCCAUUAGUUUGUUGGCGGGGUAACGGCCCACCAAGACUACGAUGGAUAGGGGUUCUGAGAGGAAGGUCCCCCACAUUGGAACUGAGACACGGUCCAAACUCCUACGGGAGGCAGCAGUGAGGAAUAUUGGUCAAUGGGCGAGAGCCUGAACCAGCCAAGUAGCGUGAAGGAUGAAGGCUCUAUGGGUCGUAAACUUCUUUUAUAUGGGAAUAAAGUUUUCCACGUGUGGAAUUUUGUAUGUACCAUAUGAAUAAGGAUCGGCUAACUCCGUGCCAGCAGCCGCGGUAAUACGGAGGAUCCGAGCGUUAUCCGGAUUUAUUGGGUUUAAAGGGAGCGUAGGUGGAUUGUUAAGUCAGUUGUGAAAGUUUGCGGCUCAACCGUAAAAUUGCAGUUGAAACUGGGAGUCUUGAGUACAGUAGAGGUGGGCGGAAUUCGUGGUGUAGCGGUGAAAUGCUUAGAUAUCACGAAGAACUCCGAUUG
rnacentral:rRNA from 1 species